rnacentral:rRNA from 1 species
GACGAACGCUGGCGGCGUGCUUAACACAUGCAAGUCGAACGGAAAGGCCCUGCUUUUGUGGGGUGCUCGAGUGGCGAACGGGUGAGUAACCCGUGAGUCACCUGCCCUUGACUUUGGGAUAACUUCAGGCAACUGGGGCUAAUACCGGAUAGGAGCUCCUGCUGCAUGGUGGGGUUUGGAAAGUUUCGGCGGUUGGGGAUGGACUCGCGGCUUAUCAGCUUGUUGGUGGGGUAGUGGCUUACCAAGGCUUUGACGGGUGGCCGGCCUGAGAGGGUGACCGGCCACAUUGGGACUGAGAUACGGCCCAGACUCCUACGGGAGGCAGCAGUGGGGAAUAUUGCACAAUGGGCGGAAGCCUGAUGCAGCAACGCCGCGUGCGUGAUGACGGCCAUCGGGUUGUAAACCGCUUUCGCCUGUGACGAAGCGUGAGUGACGGUAAUGGGUAAAGAAGCACCGGCUAACUACGUG